UUGAAUUAUUUUGAUUGGGUGAGCCUUUGCUUUGGAUCUUUGGCCGACCUUGAACAUAUGUAUUGGAAAAAAGCUUUAUUAUAUGAAAAAAGGAGAGUUAAAAAUUAAUAGAUAACAAUAAUGUGUAGGAUCUAUUUGAGCUUCAUAAUGGUUAAAAAUGAUUUAGUUGUAAAUGAGUCUUUAACACUAAUCAUAGCUCGAAAAGACAUCAUCAAAAAGUAUAAAAUUAGUCUUGUCGACAAAUUUUUAAUUCAAAAGGAAGACAUUGACUAUAACUAUAACUUCUUUCUGGUUUUAAAGAAAAAUUCAUUGAA
rnacentral:lncRNA from 1 species